rnacentral:lncRNA from 1 species
UCAAGCAGAAGUCUGAAAAAGAUGAGAACUGUGGAUUUAAAAAAGUGGUUUGAGGCAUGAUUAACCUGCAGCGGCAAAAGACUGAAGCUAUGACUUGUGACGCAAGAGGAAAAAAAUCAGGAGGGGUGGAGUUUUAAAUGGCCUUGGAGAAAAGUACAAGAACUGCAGGAAAAUAAGGAGAUCUAGUAGAAAGAUAACAGAAGAUGAUCAGAAUUUUUGUUCAUUGUUUUGCUUUUUGUCAACCAAAAUUCUGCAAUACUAGAGGGCAGUAGAAGCAGAGAUUAUGAGAAGCACAGCUGCACAUAUACAGGACACAGCUAAAAACAGCUUCUAGAGGAUGUUUUAUUUGCUUCUCUGCUUCAGCAGAAGACAACCGUACGCUCAGUGAGAGACUAAAAGCGGCCUGUAAUCAUCAGCCAGUCAGUCAGACACAACUCUUCUGGGCAGAGUGAGAAAGGAUGCACAGCCUGCAGAUCUUCCAGCAGGUUUGAAGCUUUUCAUCCUAAAGUGAAUUUUCGCCAACCGGUCUGAGAUGAAGCUCUGUGAAACAGCAUGGCAAAAGAACAAGGCUGCGUGCCAUUCAACUUUAAUAAGUCAUGGGAGAAGAUAUUGUUUAGCCUUUCAGAGUUUAUACUUUCAGAUUUGUAACUAAUGGGCCAUUCUUGAACUUGGAUGAGGUGAUCCUAGAAAAUCAGUAAGAAGCACAGCAGAGCAGAGAGAAGCCAACAAGCACAGAGCAACAGGCAGCAGCUCUUAUGCAUGCAAUUCAACUUCCAGGGCCACCCACUGCUUCACCACAGGAAUUGGGGCGGACUGAGUGUAUCCUGCAGCAAGAAUAAGGGAAACUGAGCCUAAGAAGUAAGGAGGAUAUAUUCUCUCUUUGUUGUCUAAUACCUGGAUCAAUGGUCAAAAUUUUCUGUUAAUUAGUAAUUAAUUAAAUAAGAAAAAAUUGCCUACUUUUUGCUUGUGAUGUUAGCAAGUGCAAUAGCCAAACAUUCUUUUCACAACAUUAUGGACAUCCUUUGGCAUAAUCUGCUUUGAUAAAGUGGAGGUACAAUAAAGUCUUUGGCAACUACA